GACGAACGCUGGCGGCGUGCUUAACACAUGCAAGUCGAACGGAAAGGCCCUGCUUUUGUGGGGUGCUCGAGUGGCGAACGGGUGAGUAACACGUGAGUAACCUGCCCUUGACUUUGGGAUAACUUCAGGAAACUGGGGCUAAUACCGGAUAGGAGCUCCUGCUGCAUGGUGGGGGUUGGAAAGUUUCGGCGGUUGGGGAUGGACUCGCGGCUUAUCAGCUUGUUGGUGGGGUAGUGGCUUACCAAGGCUUUGACGGGUAGCCGGCCUGAGAGGGUGACCGGCCACAUUGGGACUGAGAUACGGCCCAGAGUGCUACGGGAGGCAGCAGUGGGGAAUAUUGCCCAAUGGGCGGAAGCCUGAUGAAGCAACGCCGCGUGCGGGAUGACGGCCUUCGGGUUGUAAACCGCUUUCGCCUGUGACGAAGCGUGAGUGACGGUAAUGGGUAAAGAAGCACCGGCUAACUACGUG
rnacentral:rRNA from 1 species